CGAAAGCCUGAUGGAGCAAUACCGCGUGAGGGAUGAAGCAUCGUGGUGUGUAAACCUCUUUUCUUAAGGAAGAAUCAAUGACGGUACUUAAGGAAUAAGCACCGGCUAACUCUGUGCCAGCAGCCGCGGUAAUACAGAGGGUGCAAGCGUUGUCCGGAAUGAUUGGGCGUAAAGCAUCUGUAGGUGGUUUCUAAAGUCAACUGUUAAAUCCCAGAGCUCAACUUUGGCCAAGCAGUUGAGUACUUAGAGACUUGAGUACGGUAGGGGUAGAGGGAAUUCCUUGUUUAGCGGUGAAAUGCAUAGAGAUAAGGAAGAACACCAGUGGCGAAAGCGC
rnacentral:rRNA from 1 species